rnacentral:rRNA from 1 species
UACGUAGGGUGCGAGCGUUGUCCGGAAUUACUGGGCGUAAAGAGCUCGUAGGUGGUUUGUCGCGUUGUUCGUGAAAUCUCACGGCUUAACUGUGAGCGUGCGGGCGAUACGGGCAGACUGGAGUACUGCAGGGGAGACUGGAAUUCCUGGUGUAGCGGUGGAAUGCGCAGAUAUCAGGAGGAACACCGGUGGCGAAGGCGGGGUCUCUGGGGCAAAUAACUGACGCUGAGGAGCGAAAAGCGUGGGGGAGCGAACGG